GGGUCUUGCCCCAAAAAGACAAAUAAUUCAACAUCGAGGUCAUAAUCUUUUUCUACUAUAAGAACUUUAAGAAAAAAUUGUGCUGUUAUCCCUACGGUAACUUAAUUGAUUCCCAGAUUGGGGAUAGAGAAAGACGGAAGAAAAAGAUUUAGUUUUUUACCGCCCCAGUCCAACAGAAGUAAAGUUCGAUAGGGUCUUGUCGUCCUUCUUUGUCAUACAAGUCUUUUUACUUGAAGGAAAAGUUAAAAUAGUUUAGGUAAUAAAGAAAUUUAUAUGUCAAACCUUUCAUGCUAGCCUUCAAUUGAAAGGCAAAUGAUUACGCUACCUUAGCACAAAAAUUGCGGCUAUUGAAUAAAUCAUUGAGCAGGCCCUACUGAAUAUAAGGUCAUUCAGAAAUGUUUUUGAUAAACAGACAAUAAAUAUGAAGGCCGAGUUCAUGAACCUGAAUGUGGAUUUUAUUGAUAAAGGUGUAUUAACAAAAGAAAGUUAGGUAUAUUUUACUAAUAAAGUCAUUGUGAAAAUUAUCAGAAAGGUUACUUUUAAUGGGAUUCUUAGAAAAAAAUGGGAAAGUUUUUAAACUUGGAGGAUACUGUUAAUCCUAGCGUUUGGAAAGAAAUAAAAUGACUAAUUUUUAAAAAAGUUUGUCCCUUUUUAAAUUUUGGUAUUAUUACCUUCAAAGAGAACCAGAUAUUAUAGAAUGCGGGUGGAAUUUCAUCUCUAUAUCUACUUUAGAAAACUUUAUGCAACAAGCUUGAUAAGAAGAAAUAGAUCAUUUCAAUUUCGGGAGCAUUUAUUAAAAAUAGGAGAUUGAUUUUCCCUGAUACUAAAGGUACAUUACCUUUCUAUUUAACAAUUGAGAAAUUUUCCCUCACGGUUAAAUAGGGUUAAGAAAAAAACGUAAAGAAUAAAAUAUUUAUUUAAAUAAGAAUUUAAAAACAAGAU
rnacentral:rRNA from 1 species